AUUGAACGCUGGCGGCAGGCCUAACACAUGCAAGUCGAGCGGUUGAGGUAGCUUGCUACCGAAGCAGCGGCGAACGGGUGAGUAAUGCAUGGGAAUCUGCCUGGUAGUGGGGGACAACGUUUCGAAAGGAACGCUAAUACCGCAUACGCCAUACGGGGGGAAGGGGGGGAUCUUCGGACCUCUCGCGAUCAGAUGAGCCCAUGCCGGAUUAGCUAGUUGGGGGGGUAAAGGCCCACCAAGGCGACGAUCCGUAGCUGGUCUGAGAGGAUGAUCAGCCACACUGGAACUGAGACACGGUCCAGACUCCUACGGGAGGCAGCAGUGGGGAAUAUUGGACAAUGGGGGCAACCCUGAUCCAGCCAUGCCGCGUGUGUGAAGAAGGCCUUAGGGUUGUAAAGCACUUUCAGUGGGGAGAAAGGUGAUUCACCUAAUACGUGAGUCAAUUGAUGCUACCCACAGAAGAAGCACCGGCUAACUCCGUGCCAGCCGCCGCGGUAA
rnacentral:rRNA from 1 species